rnacentral:misc_RNA from 1 species
UCGAUUUUUAAAGAUGUGCUGGCACUCCUUCAUUGGUUUGCAUGUGCACUCUACAAAAUCUCCUUCUCUUACCCCACUGUGCACACCCAAGUAGACAAACAGAGUUACAGAACGAUCUGUGUAAUUCCUGAUUUGCCUAUGUUUUUAUCAAACACCAAUAACAAUCUCAGAAUGAUCUGUAUAGUAAGCUUUUAACAAGCUGAAAUUUAAUA